AUACGGAGGAUCCGAGCGUUAUCCGGAUUUAUUGGGUUUAAAGGGAGCGUAGGUGGACAGUUAAGUCAGUUGUGAAAGUUUGCGGCUCAACCGUAAAAUUGCAGUUGAUACUGGCUGUCUUGAGUACAGUAGAGGUGGGCGGAAUUCGUGGUGUAGCGGUGAAAUGCUUAGAUAUCACGAAGAACUCCGAUCGCGAAGGCAGCUCACCGGGCCGGAACUGACACUGAUGCUCGAAAGUGCGGGUAUCAAACAGGAUUAGAUACCCUGGUAGUCCGCACAGUAAACGAUGAAUACUCGCUGUUUGCGAUACACGGUAAGCGGCCAAGCGAAAGCGUUAAGUAUUCCACCUGGGGAGUACGCCGGCAACGGUGAAACUUAAAUGAAUUGGCGGGG
rnacentral:rRNA from 1 species